rnacentral:rRNA from 1 species
UACGGGGGGGGCAAGCGUUGUUCGGAAUUACUGGGCGUAAAGGGCUCGUAGGUGGCCAACUAAGUCAGACGUGAAAUCCCCAGGCUCAACCUGGGAACUGCGUGUGAUACUGGAUGGCUUGAAUUCGGGAGAGGGAUGCAGAAUUCCAGGUGUAGCGGUGAAAUGCGUAGAUAUCUGGAGGAACACCGGUGGCGAAGGCGGCAUCCUGGACCGGCACUGACGCUGAGGAGCGAAAGCCAGGGGAGCAAACGGG